rnacentral:lncRNA from 1 species
GUAAAAAUUGUCAGUUGGACUAAAAAGUCCUGCUUAUAAAAACUGUUGCAUUUGUCGUAAUUUCAACUUACAAUGUAUUUUAGUGACAUAAAUGGAUACUUUCAUAGACAUACAAGAUUGUUUACAACUACUUAGCGUACCAGGGGUCGAUCCAGUAAAAUGAAACGGAUGUCAAGAUCCAUGAAUAUCCAUUUAGUGGAUUCCUCCUUUUUCCUGGGCACCAUCCCCCUCCUUUUCUUUCAUUCAAUUUUCCUUCCUCAAAGAGGUCCCAGAUUUUUCAGUUGUUACCUGAUUGAGGGAGAGUGCUCCCCACCUUGAGAUAUGUUUUUAUUUACCAAAGCUGUCAUGAUUAUUCUUUUAUUCCUAUUUGUCCAAUAUCCUCACUACGCCAUCAAAAAGUCAAUGGAAUCCAAAAGUUAAUGAGUGUUGUCAAAGAUUAAGAAAUAACUUGUGGGAAAGGAUAUCUUGCCUUAGACGAGACUACAAGUAGAUCCAGACAUUACUUAUUUUUCCAUGGACUAGGAGCCAGAAAAAUCCAGAAUAUGAGUUGUCAGACCAGAAUGACCCGGAGUAUUAUGUCUCAGACUUGAUCUGAACACUGAAAAGUUGGUCUCAAUUGAAGCUCUGAGUAGUGGAUCGCAUUGAGACUAAAAUGAAGUGCUCAGCGUAUUAAUCAAUCUUUUUUGAUCAUCAGAAUUAAGAAAGAACAAUAGCGUUGCUAUUCUGUUCAUACCAUGAGUGAGACAAGUGUCGUACAACAUCAUUGGAAAAUGUUGCUUAAGGUUUUUGACUGCUUUUAUACAAUAAGCUUCACCAUUAAUAAUGAAAACCUCUCGCCACAGAAAUCGGAACCCAAAAUGUUGUUAAGACUUUUAACUUAUAUUGUGAGCCUCCUUAAUAUCUUCCAAAUUUAUUAAAUAAGGGCAGCCUAUCAAUACUGCAGUCAUGGAUCGUAUUUUCGUCUCUGAUAAGAAGAUUAUCAUUUCCUUCAAGUUCUUUCCUAAUAAUUGACAACAAUACUUUACAUUGGGACUCCGAUGACUUAGUGAUAAGAUAGUUAAAAGGAAUGGAUUUACAAGUAUAAAGUUCCACUAAUUUUACUAAAUUUGAAUGACAAACAAUAUGUAGUGGAGCAUUGCAGGAUUCAUGCAUCAUGUAAUAAAUAAAGAAAUUCAAUGUUAUUUAAUGGCAGAAAAUUAAAUAUAAAUGUUAUAUUUAUUGCUUGUUGUUGAUUUCAUAAUAUUUUGUUUAAUAUGCACUUAAUAUUCUUCAUAAGAAAAUUAAUUAAUAUUAGAAUUGUUGGUACAAUAAAUCUUAGAUUGAAUACAA